rnacentral:lncRNA from 1 species
CAGUUUUCAUUAUACAAUCCAUUUCAUAUAUAAGUUCACAUUCAAUUUCAUAAUCUCAUUACAAUUCAACAUCAAUACACAAAUAUCCCAUAUCAUAUAGUAUGUUUCAAUCCAUUUUCAUGUCUCAACUAAAUCAAGCUACUUUCUAUUUUAUUCAAUUUAGUCAAUUAUUUAGAUACUCAAUACUAAUCAUAGCAAAUGAAUUCGUACAACCAUUAUUAACUCACAUCGAUACUCAAUCAUGC